rnacentral:rRNA from 1 species
AUUGAACGCUAGCGGGAUGCUUUACACAUGCAAGUCGAAAGAGUGGCGGACGGGUGAGUAAUAUCUAGAAACGUGCCCAGUAGCGGGGGCUAACUACUCGACAGAGUGGCUAAUACCGCAUACCCUUGGAUCGGCGGAUAUGAGAUUAGCUAGUUGGUGGGGUAAAGGCUCACCAAGGCAACGAUCCCUAGCUGGUUUGAGAGGACGACCAGCCACACUUGGACUGAGACACGGCCCAGACUCCUACGGGAGGCAGCAGUGGGGAAUUUUGGACAAUGGGGGAAACCCUGAUCCAGCCAUCCCGCGUGUAUGAGAAGGCCUUCGGGUUGUAAAGUACUUUUGGCAGAGAAGCGGUAUCUGCAGAAUAAGCACCGGCUAACUACGUGCCAGCCGCCGCGGUAAUAC